CUCAUUGUUUAGCUUUCUGCAACUUCUUGGGCAAAGGCUUCUGGCAUCAAGAUGGAAUGGAUUAUGCAAUAGAUACUGAUACACAAUCCUUUUGCGAGGCCAAUCUCUACGAGGCCCUACGUAGAACUGGUUCCGGUUGUCUGCAUGACACUGGCCCCCUCCCCGGUAGCAUCGAUCACAAUCUUCCAACACACGCCACUCUAAACUGAAACUAGACGUCAGCAUCUCCGACAGUUGAGUCGUGUUCACAUCAGACUUCACAGGCAACUGAGUCAAGGAACAUUCUCCAGGAAUUGCCCCAUCACGACUCUCAGCUGCCGGAAUUUUGUCGUACAGCCAUCAUUUUCUUAAACUUUAUGCCGAAAAGUUUCGCAUCAACUAUAUAUGAUGGAACGGAGGGAGUACAUGUACAAGAGCACAAUCGAAUGGAAUAUAUGUAUAUAUUUAUAUUAAAUUGCUAAACUACACAUAGAGCUCGUAUAUGUAAUUAUAUUAUACUAAUAGUUAUAUUUAAAUUCGUAAUUAUACAUAUUUUUAUAAUAA